AGACAAACAAGCCCCAUAACACAAUGAAAACCAACCAAGGAAACUUUGGAACACAGUGAAGCCAUGUCUGUUUUCAUUUGCCAUUUUAGCUAUGGCAACAAGCAAUGUCCCCAGCACAUGGGAUGAUUUUGCUGGAUCUUGGAUAUCAAAGUAUAAAACCAUGGACUGGCAGGUUCUUACCCAUGAGCUUUGGGUGGCUCUGACACAUGAUGAGUGGUCAUGUGAGGAUGAUGCAAUCAUUUUCUCUGACUUUGGCCUCUGCCUUUUCUGGAUGAAUUUGACACUGAAGGCUUCAUUUGAAGACGAGGCUGUGGAGGCCAACUUAACCAUCCUGCCUUUUCUAAGCAUCAUGCUCUGGGUCUUACUAAAGGCCCAACCAAAGCUGUAAUCCCAGUAGGUUUCUUAGCCAACAAAAAUAAGCAAUGGACAGUCUAAAUAGAAAGAAUAUUUCAAAAUUCAUGUGUUAAAUGAUCAAAUAGUGAUUAUCUAUUGCAGUCCUAAAAUAUGUUAUUUAUUUGUAUUAGAAGUCUUGGUUUGUGGCCUGGGGAAAUGGCUCAGUGAAUGAAGUGUUGGCUGUACAAGCAUGAGGACCUGGCUUUAGAACCUCAAGACCCACAGAAAAGCCAUGUUUUGUGGCUACCAUCCUACCAUUCUACCAUAUCUACCAUCUUGAUGUUGGGGAGACAGAAAGUUUGACUUACAGAAGAUAUAUGGCUGAUGUUUAUGGAUUGGAAGUUAAAUCCUGAAGUGUAGAACCCAGUGCUUGGACAUUAGAGAUUUUCAAACUCAAACUGCUGUGAAUUUUGAAUAAAUUGUUACUCUCUGGAGACUUUAAAGAGUGCUUAACUGGGCUCUCAUCUACUCCUCGAUUGUAUUGCACAUAGCAACAGUGUUGUCUUGAAGUUAUUAUUGCCAUCUGUGUUUUUUAGAUGUGUUUAAUUAUAUUAAUGAAAAUAAACACCCCAUUGUAUAUCAUUUUUGUGCAGGCUUUUUUACCUUUUAGAUUUUAGGAACUUUAAAAAAACUGUUUACACAUGGGAGCUCUGUGUUUUGUGAUCUUAUCUUCAAAG
rnacentral:lncRNA from 1 species